rnacentral:rRNA from 1 species
GAUGAACGCUGGCGGCGUGCCUAAUACAUGCAAGUCGAGCGAACAGACGAGGAGCUUGCUCCUCUAACGUUAGCGGCGGACGGGUGAGUAACACGUGGAUAACCUACCUAUAAGACUGGGAUAACUUCGGGAAACCGGAGCUAAUACCGGAUAAUAUAUUGAACCGCAUGGUUCAAUAGUGAAAGACGGUUUUGCUGUCACUUAUAGAUGGAUCCGCGCCGCAUUAGCUUGUUGGUAAGGUAACAGCUUACCAAGGCAACGAUGCGUAGCCGACCUGAGAGGGUGAUCGGCCACACUGGAACUGAGACACGGUCCAGACUCCUACGGGAGGCAGCAGUAGGGAAUCUUCCGCAAUGGGCGAAAGCCUGACGGAGCAACGCCGCGUGAGUGAUGAAGGUCUUCGGAUCGUAAAACUCUGUUAUUAGGGAAGAACAAAUGUGUAAGUAACUAUGCACGUCUUGACGGUACCUAAUCAGAAAGCCACGGCUAACUACGUG